UGAUUCUAUGAAGCACUGCACACUCACAGCUGCAAUGUGAUAUUUUGCAUAAUGGCAGUUCAAAGUGAUGGAGGAAAUCAUGCCAAGCAGUGUACUCAGAAUUAUCUGCCUUAUAUGCUGAUACUUUUCCACGCUAUCAAGAUUGUCUGGUUGUAUGGUCUGGAGAAAGCCAGUAUUCCUACUAUGCUGCCUAAAUCCAGGACACCAUGUGACAUUCCACACCUGCCUCUUACCCACCCCCACCAGGUCAAGUCAGUGCAGUGUCUGUAUGAAGUCUUCUUAUAAACCAGCAGAACAGUCUGGAAAAAAUAAAUUUGAAAAUGUGCUUUUUCAAGAAACCCAGAAAACAUGAGACUUUCUUAAGAAAAUUAAUCUAAGAAAUUAAUCGUACAGCCUCCAGGUGCUGAUGUUCACCCAGCCCUCUUCCCAAGACUUCCAUGUGCAUUUUGGCCCAACAAGGGCCAAGAACCAUUUCCAAUAGAAAAUUUGGAUUCAUCAUCUCUGCUUUAGUGAAUAACAACGAUAAAGACUGCUCAUUUAUGUACACCAGCCAAGCUGCACUCAGAGCCAUCUUAACUGUUGAUGCCACUGCUACUGGUAUGUCAUGUAAAAGUCAAGGGAGCCUGAUCCUAAACGUCAUUUGAAUAAAGGAGCUUUGAGAUUUUUGGUUCUAGAAAAUUUUAUCCAAAUCUGCAAAAACACAUUAUUGCAUUUCACACACAACACAAGUGAAAUAUUUGUCCUAUUUGGUCCUGAGUUUAAUACACUUCACAGCCAACUCUGGUGAAUUGUGCCUUCUUUGAAGUUCCCUUGAUCAUUUCUUCAAGUCAUUUUAACCCUUUACACAAGUCUUAAACAAUGUUGGUUUUGUCUCCUUGACCUAAGUCGUGAUUCCUCCUUUAACAUGUAGAUCCUACUCAUCCUCCCUUUUCCCCUCAUUCACUAUCCACCAUCAGACCAUAUACAGUUCAGGUGACAGGAUCUUUUACCCAUUGCAGUACAUUUCAACCUAUAGUUUGUGGUGUGCAAAUGUGGCUUACUAUGAUUGAAGUUCAAUCCACAAAUUUUCUGCCCUCCCAGGCUUCUGGAUAAUUUUUAU